AGGUUUCCGUAGGUGAANCUGCGGAAGGAUCAUUAAUACAUGUUGAGCGCACUUUAAUGUGACUCUUUGUAUAAACCAUUACCCCCCAAACCCAGAGGUGCAUUGUGGCCCGUCAAAAGGUUAGCAGUGUAUCAGUACGUAUCUCAAAGGCAACUUUGAUUUACAUUACCCAUCAUUUACCCCCAUUUACACUUAAGAAGUUUUAAGAAUGAUAACCAUAACUAUAUAACUUUCAGCAAUGGAUCUCUAGGCUCUCACGUCGAUGAAGAACACAGUGAAAUGUGAUACGUAAUGUGAAUUGCAGAAUUCAGUGAAUCAUCGAAUCUUUGAACGCACCUUGCACCUUUUGGUUAUUCCGAAAGGUACGCCUGUUUGAAUGUCACGAAACCCCCCUCGGCCCUCAUUCUUUCUAAAAGCAUGGGGGACGGAUUCUGAGUGUUGGCGUGUCAACGCCUCGCUUCAAAUAGAUUAGCACUUUUGGAUGGUAUACUAUUAGUUCAAAAGACGUACUUGAUGUUGUAUUUAUAUUUCAUUGAGGCAGUCUUUGGUCGCUCCGACUAUCCGCUAAUAGGGCAACUUGAAGAAUAGCUUCCUAACCCUAUCAACUUAAUUAAGUAAUUAAUUAAUCUUUAGACUUCAAAUCAGGUGGGACUACCCGCUGAACUUAAGCAUAUCAAUAAGCGGAGGAAAAGAAAAUAACUAUGAUUCCCUUAGUAACGGCGAGUGAACAGGGAAAAGCCCAAAUUUGUAAUCUGGCACUUUUUACAAGUGUCCGAGUUGUAAUUUGUAGAACUGUUAUCC
rnacentral:rRNA from 1 species